rnacentral:rRNA from 1 species
AAUCAACGCUGGCGGCGUGCCUAACACAUGCAAGUCGAGCGCGAAAGCGGGGCAACCCGCAAGUAGAGCGGCGAACGGGUGAGUAACGCGUGGGUGAUCUACCUCCGAGUGGGGAACAACAUCGGGAAACUGGUGCUAAUACCGCAUGACAUCCUCAGGUCACACUGAGGAUCAAAGCCGGGGACCGUAAGGCCUGGCGCUUGGAGAGGAGCCCGCGUCCGAUUAGCAGUUGGCGGGGUAACGGCCCACCAAGGCGACGAUCGGUAGCCGGCCUGAGAGGGGCGGACGGCCACACUGGGACUGCGACACGGCCCAGACUCCUACGGGAGGCAGCAGUGGGG